GGGUAUAUACCUCAGUGGUAGAGUGCGUGCCUACCAUGCACAAGGUCCUGGGUCCAAUCCCCAGUACCUCCG
rnacentral:tRNA from 1 species